GGAAAUACUCUGCUGUCUUUCCCGUGGAAGCUGUCUGCCUCCGUUGCUGACACGCUGCGGGAGUUCAUUUCCUGCUGGGAACAUACCCACGUUGCAGACAAAAAUACUGGGUCAAUUACAGCCUGCAGCAGUGGCUUCACCUGUUGGAGCCUUUGCAUAAAAGCCCAGUAUAUUUUCCCUCAGAGGCUGCUAGGUUAUGAGGGGAAGGACUGCCUUAUGCUGCAUGGCUGUUUGGCUGACGCAGCUGACGGAGAACGGCAUGGGAAAGCAAAGAGAUGCACUGACUUUGCACAAUGUCUUUUCCCUGCAGAGCUGAGCAGAGGGACCUGGCACGAGAGCUGACAUCUCUGAGAACUGGAGCCAAAGCUGCCCUGGAGCACACGGGGACGGGUCAUGGACAAAGCUGUCUGCAGCUGAGAACACUCGCUCACUCAUGGCAAGCCCUGCGGUGGAAACAGAGGAUAGUGAUACUACUCUGGCUCAUUUGGCUGCUGGCUUGAAAGAAGAAAACUGAGAGAUAAGAAAACAGGAAUCGAUUGGAUCAGAACGUUCAGCCUCGUGUCUAAUGCUCAGUGAAACCAAUCUGACUAACUGCUCCACCUGAGCCCUAUGCAUCUGAUCAGCUCGGUGGAGGGCUGGGAGCAUUUCUUUGGCUUGUGGAGAGGAGGAACAAAAGACUCCAUCUGUGAGAGCUGUGGUAGGGGCAGACGUGCAUCCCCAGCUGGGUGCAGCGUGCCCUCCCACGAAUGGCAGUGAAUGUGCUCGGCUGCAGAUGAGCACUGUAACUUUC
rnacentral:lncRNA from 1 species